ACUGACAGGACCCCCGUCCUCCUCAGGACAUGCACUUUGGCUUCGGGAAAUAUGGGGCUGGGUCUAUGCUGACAGGAGCCCACAGCUUCAUCAGGACCCACAGUGAGUUUUCUGGGGGAUGUGAGGCCAUGUCUAGGCUGACAGGAGACCCCAGCCUCCUGAGGACUUGCUGUGAGGCUUCCAGAGGAUGUGAGGCAUAGUCCACAGUGACAGGAGACGCGGUGUCCUCUGGACCCACUGACUAUGACACAGGAACACGUGGGGCCAUGUCCGCACUCACAGGAGCCUGGCUUCCUCAGGACCCCCUGGAGGACUCUGGAGGCGCCGUUGGGGGCCACGUCCAUAUCAGAACGGACUCCUCUGAACCACAGGGGGCCUGGGAUGGAUGGACCUGUUCGAACCCUGAACUUAAAGAGGAAAGACCUUCAUUUUCUUGGCCUCCUUGUGUCCCCUCCCAUCCUAUCUAGCUCUUUCCCCCUUCCCCGGAGCUCCUGAGAGAGCAAUUGCAAAUUACCUCAGCUUGGCAGGGUCUGUUGGGGGACAGGCCCAGGGAUUUGGUAUCAGGAAGACCUGGGGUGCGGGCAUACCGGCUGUGCAUCAGGAUUUGAUGCUGCAGACUCAUUCCCUAAGGCUAUCUUGACAACUGACUUUAUACAUAGAAAAGCUCUCCUUUAUCUUUAAAAGAUGAAGAGCCAGUCAAAGCCUUUUUUCUCUGCCCAUCUGAUUGCUCAGAUUCCAAUGUGAGACGUAUUUCCUGUUAAUAAGGAUAAUUUACUAUCCGUAGUACUAUGGUUAAAAUAUUCUGACACAAGUAAUUCAGAGGGAUGAGGGUUUCUCAUCUCUUUCUUCACAGCUCAGUCACUCCUCAGGAAAUGCAUCGUUAUGGAUUUGGAAAUAACUGAGAGACAUUAUUACCAAUGGUCCUAUUAUUAUGUGAAGGAUCCUUCCCUGAGAUUCUUCCCCUGUUUCAACUGACACUGAAACACUUUGAACUCUUUGGAAGACAAAUGUCAAGGAAAUAAAUGUUAUGCAUUGCUAAUUUUA